UACAGAGGGUGCGAGCGUUGUUCGGAAUUAUUGGGCGUAAAGCGCGCGCAGGCGGGAUGGUAAGUCGGAUGUGAAAGCCCUCGGCUCAACCGAGGAAGUGCGUUCGAAACUACUGUUCUUGAGUGUCGGAGAGGGUGGCGGAAUUCCCGGUGUAGAAGUGAAAUUCGUAGAUAUCGGGAGGAACACCAGAGGCGAAGGCGGCCACCUGGACGAACACUGACGCUGAAGCACGAAAGCGUGGGGAGCAAACAGG
rnacentral:rRNA from 1 species